GAUGAACGCUGGCGGCGUGCCUAAUACAUGCAAGUCGAGCGAACUGAUUAGAAGCUUGCUUCUAUGACGUUAGCGGCGGACGGGUGAGUAACACGUGGGCAACCUGCCUGUAAGACUGGGAUAACUUCGGGAAGCCGAAGCUAAUACCGGAUAGGAUCAUCUCCUUCAUGGGAGAUGAUUGAAAGAUGGUUUCGGCUAUCACUUACAGAUGGGCCCGCGGUGCAUUAGCUAGUUGGUGAGGUAACGGCUCACCAAGGCAACGAUGCAUAGCCGACCGGAGAGGGUGAUCGGCCACACUGGGACUGAGAAAAGGCCCAGACUCCUACGGGAGGCAGCAGUAGGGAAUCUUCCGCAAUGGACGAAAGUCUGACGGAGCAACGCCGCGUGAGUGAUGAAGGCUUUCGGGUCGUAAAACUCUGUUGUUAGGGAAGAACAAGUACAAGAGUAACUGCUUGUACCUUGACGGUACCUAACCAGAAAGCCACGGCUAACUACGUGCCAGCCGCCGCCGUAAAAC
rnacentral:rRNA from 1 species